GCCUACAGCCACACUACCCUGAAUGCACCCGAUCCCAUUUGAUCUCAGAAGUUAAGCAGGGUCAGGCCUGGUUAGUACUUGGAUGGGAUUCUGCCUGGGAAUACCGGUUGCUGUAGGCU